GUGGUAAUGCCGGAUGCUCCGACUCCUCGCAUGGGGUGUCGGGAAAGAUUUCAUCGGUAUGGGAUGGGGUCGCGUCCUAUCAGGUAGUCGGCGGGGUAACGGCCCACCGAGCCUACGACGGGUAGCCGGCCUGAGAGGGCGACCGGCCACAUUGGGACUGAGAUACGGCCCAGACUCCUACGGGAGGCAGCAGUGGGGAAUAUUGCACAAUGGGCGCAAGCCUGAUGCAGCGACGCCGCGUGCGGGAUGACGGCCUUCGGGUUGUAAACCGCUUUUGAUCGGGAGCAAGCCUUCGGGUGAGUGUACCUUUCGAAUAAGCACCGGCUAACUACGUGCCAGCAGCCGCGGUAAUACGUAGGGUGCAAGCGUUAUCCGGAAUUAUUGGGCGUAAAGGGCUCGUAGGCGGUUCGUCGCGUCCGGUGUGAAAGUCCAUCGCUUAACGGUGGAUCUGCGCCGGGUACGGGCGGGCUGGAGUGCGGUAGGGGAGACUGGAAUUCCCGGUGUAACGGUGGAAUGUGU
rnacentral:rRNA from 1 species